CCUCUGCUGCUGAGCUGCUUGCAGCUGGAGGUGGAUGUUAAUGAGCAUCAGCCUACUGAAAUGGCUCAUCAGGGAAGGAAGGGGAGUUGAUUUCUUUGACUAGAGAAUACAAUAGAAGCUGGAGCUCUUGUGGGAGAAGAUAACCCUCAAUCUCAAAGAAGGUGGUCUUUGGUUUUGCAGCUCAGUUUUUCUCUUGCUGUCGAUCUGCUUGAGAAGGGAUUGGUGUCCUGCUACUUGUCUCCAGCAGCUGCCUCGUAUCUGCUACCUUAUGGAUGCCUUCCAACUCGGGAUAUCCUAUGAGUCUUCCUUCAUUGUCCUUCUACUGAACCUGGGACCUCCACAGUGAGCAGCUAAAGGUAUUCUGGGUCUACACCGGUGAGAAGAGAGAAGCUCUCUGCGAGGCCUGGAAGUAUGACACAUGCUUAUGAGCAGACUCUAGGCACAUACAAUGUACUCAUUAAAUGCCACGGGGACUGCUGUGCCAGCAGGAGGGAUUCUAGCCCCAAAAAGCACUGCGAGAGCUGCGUGACCCCUCACCCCCAGGCAGAAGUGGGGGAGGACACCUCCAUCUUGUAAUCUGCAUCUGUCAAAAGAAGUGCUCUCCUCAUUUUUUGCCAGUUUGGGAAGGGUUAACGAGGGAAGCACAGCCCCCAGGGGCCAGCACUGUUGUUCCAUGCAGAUUGGCUUGUUCUUGUUUCUUCCAUCGAUCGCAAUCACUCAGAGCUGUGCCUGUAACAAACUGCCUUAAAUCAUUGCAAUCAUAAUAAGCACACCUUGGUAAAUAAUGCAUGAGGUGUCCGUAAGCCUAUAUUCAUUAGGAGGAAGGCGCAUAUAGAGCACGAAGGGAUGGAGCCGUGGCAGAAGCAUUCCUGCUUGUAUCAGACAGCUGUGGAUGGCAAUGGGUCAUUUCACUCCAUUAUGGUUUCUGGCAAGGGGAAAAAAAAAUACCUAAAGGGAAAAUAGCAGAUCCUGCCUGUUUGACAGCCAUGGUGGUCUCUGCCUUCUUGGGAAACAGCAGCGAUGAGCGCUGCGGGGACAACUCGCUCCUUGUUCAGCCCCAGUGGAUGUCUUCAUCGCCAUGUUCUAGCUGCAUCAUCUGUCACAGAGAGAAGCAAAAUGACAAAGAGAGAUAAGAUCAGUACGUUUUAAGCUGGAGAAGAAAGACCAUUCAACCCAAGCAGAAGCAGAUAAAUAGGGAAUCAUUACCUUCACUGCCUUCAUCUUCACACCAAGCUUGCCACUUGCCUGGGCAACGUCACAAGAGAUGUGGCAACGUGAAACCACAGGUCCUGUCCCCAUUCCCUGGAAGCGGAACCCCUGUGCAGCUUUCAGAUACCCGCUGCCCAGAGCUCGAACCAGCCCAUUGUAUUUCAGAUUACCUGAAGAACUUCUCCGUUGGCAAACUCAGCCCAGAAAUAAGAGAUCCUGAGUCAAUGUCUCAAAAGCCGUCGAUGACAUCAAGUUGAUUGGUUUUGCUGCAGCCCUUGAAAGCAGUGGUGGGGAAUCGAUGCAGCCAUCCUCCGCCCAGGACCUGCUUUUAGGAGGACAAAGUGAGCCUUAUUCAUGGGCACGACAAAGGGUCCAGCGCUGCUUUGAUGUGGUGACCGUCCAAUGGCCCCUUCACCUGUUUCUUCCCUUUGGAGGAACGCUGCAAUGCAUUUUCAUCCGUCUCUUUGGCCAGAUUCUUCCUAGAAAUCGCUGCUAUUCAGCAAGAAGUGAAGGUUUCCUUUUUGAAAUCUUUAAUGAAACGACUACAAAUAAUAGUCUACCUUCCACCCAAGAAGGGCAGAAUUAUUCCUUCUCCCGCCUAUACAGAUGGAAGGAAUGCUUAUGUAUGGAUUGUGUUUUCCUACAGCCAGGCUGGAUGACAAUCUGGUUGACUUCUAGGACGCAGCUUCUCGAAGAUGCUGCUCCUUCAGCAGCUGCAGUGCCCACGCUGGUGGGAUGUCUGGCACGUGGGACUGCAGAGUAAAUGCUUAAUGAGGAGGUUGCUCACAAAGGCAGUGGUACAAGGUGGUCCAUUAGAGGCUUCAGGCCUAACUCGGUUGAUCUUGAAAUACAAACAUAAUACUUUCAGGCUUAAAUAGCAGACUGAUCACAGCAGUCCCCGCUAGAAUCUCUACGUGUCUAAGGCACUGGACAUAAAUUAGUAUCAUCAGUUCAAACACCUUGAAAAUUGGAAAUAAAUUAUGCCAGACACUGGAGACAGAUGGCAUCCAUACACCAGGCAGAGCCAGAAAGCCCAGCGCUUCGGACAUCUGUAGAUGAAUUCCCUGAAGCACCUGGAGCUGCAGAGAGGAGAGGAGAAAGUGAUCUGUGCCUGAGAAUGGAUGGGUUUCUUUGGAAGUAUCACUUCAGCUUCAUCCGAGCAGCAAAGAGAGAAACUCGUUCACUAACCCACUGUUCUGCUGUGUCCUCCUAUAGGGAUAUAAAUACGGCUGAAAAAUGUCUGCAUUGUUUAUUACUUUGAAGUCAAACGUGCACCGGCUAUUUUCAGAAACAUGGGAGAAGUAAUGCCUUCUGGCUGGCUUUGAGUUGCCAGGUCGUCUGAAUAAUUUCCCUUUCCCUGUCCCUCUGCUUUUAUAUACACAUGGAAAGGCAGACACGGAUAUUUUAAUGUAUGUAUUAAAACUAGACCAAAAGUUAGCAUGCUGUUUGGAGAUGUGUGGCAUAGAAAUAAAUCGCAGAGGAGAGCAAGGAAGGAAUGUGUGCUGCUCCCUGGCAGCCUCGGCUCGUUUGGGGCUGCACAGCAGAGCAAGGCACAGCUCCUGCCCCACAGCCUCCGUACGAAUAUAUCGAGCUCUUUUGUUUCCCACGUGUAGGGUCACCGUUAUGUGCUUUCUCACCUAUGUGACUGCAUCAAACAAACAAGAAAUGCCCUUCAAAAGCCGAUCCAGGUCUAACCAGUCAGUGAGAUAUGGGACUUGGCAGGUAGCAGAAGGCUUCAGGACCGAUCCCCAGCCUGAUGGCACCAAGAGCAAAUGAGAUCUGCAAGACAGCACCCCACAGUUCCCAAAGCUCAGAAAACAGGAAGGGACGUGAGACAAAGCUGAUGGCAUAGCUCAAACACCGGCAGAACAGCUAUGCACGGAGUUCCCUAAGAACACAGCCUGCUUGUAAGGGUCAUUAUUGUUAUCCAUGGCUUUCCAGCCAUACAAUGGAUAGACAACUACAUGGCAACUCUACACAGCCUCCAGAGGGUUCUGCGUGCACCAAUAGAGAGACAGAGCUCUAACAAGGAGAAUGGCAGUGCUUGAGGUUGUCUUAAUUGACUGCUAAUGGGUCCCAACCGGGAGACAGGCUCAGCUGGGUGCCAUUUGCUCUAAUUGAUAAGAAGCCCUGAUUGGGUCCUUGGAGGGUG
ensembl:lncRNA